rnacentral:snoRNA from 1 species
AGCGACUCUACUUCAUAGAAUCUGUUCUAUAGUAGACGACCUUAUCUGAGCUCCUUACACGAGCCACAGAACUCCAACCUGGCUGAUGAUGGAAAUCCCCGAUGCCCUAGAGUGAAGCCUCUCUUUGGUCCUGCUUAACAGCAGGAUUGGCGAUGAUCUCGUCUCGGACGGACGUCUGGCUUCGUGCCGAUUUGUUCGAGUGGGCGUCGUGGGAAUUCUGACAGGU